AGAGUUCUAAACCAAUGUGCAGAAUCUCCUGGCCACUGCUCCAGCCCCUCCUGGAGUGACUCCUUCAUCCUCCAAGUCUCCAGGGUGGCCCCUAUGCAGCCAGCCUCUCCCUGAUCCGUCAGCAUCUGGCCACCCAGACCAGUUCUCAGUCCCUAUGGUUUGGCCUUUUCCAGAGUGGCCUAGGAAUGGGAAUCCUGUUGUGGUAGCUUAUUGGGCCUGGCUUCUUUCCCUUAGCAAAACGCAUCUAGGAUCCACCCACGUUCAUGUGGGCAUCACUAGAUCAUUCCCUUUUCUCACUGAAUCUUCUGCCAUUUGAAGGCAGGACCACCCUUCCUCUCUGCAUUCCCGUGUUGAAGGUCAUUCCCGUAGCCUCCAUGUGUGAGUGUCAAUGAAUCAAGCAGUGAACAUGGCAUGCAGGUUUCAUGUGGACACCAGUUUUCAAAUCAGUGGGUUCAAUAUCAGUGACGCUUUGGGGACAUGUGGUUCAAGUCCAUUGAACUUUGUGAGCCACUACGCAACUGGCUGCCAAAGUGGCUGUGCCAUGUGAUGUUCCCAGCAGACCUGGAUGAGAGUUUCCAGGACCCCAUGCUCCCCAGCUUUUGGUGCUGUCAGUGUUGCCUGGGGAAGCUCAUGGGCCCUCCAUCCUGCUGCCCUCCUGUGGGUCCUACCAUGGGUCCCUGUGGGUCAGGGAGAGCACUUUUCACCAUUGUGCAUGAUUUUCUUUGCUGCUGUCUGUCUCCUCAGGAUCCUCCUGGGUUCUGGCCCCACAUGUUCCAGUCUGGCCCAGGGCUUGGAACCUGGGGGGUGCUCGGUCCAUGGUACCAGCUGCUCCCUGGUACAGGAGAGCUCUUGGCAGCUCUGUCAUCCCUCCUGGGUGACCCACACUCGCUCAAUCAGCUGUGGGCAGAAAACAAUCUGGUGUCACAGGCCACAGGGCAAUCCCAGUGAGGACCAGAGCCCGAGGAUUCUGGAAAUCUUUGGUUUUGGCCCCAUGAUUCCUCAGUAGAGGUGAGGUCAAGCUGGUACAGGGUCUUCCUUCCCAGGAUUGAAAGAGUGUGUGGGCACUGAGUCCUGAACACUGAUCUGGACCUUUUCCUUCUUUUGGGUCACCAGGAGGCAUCCCUACUCUGAGCUCCAGGGGGCCCCAGCCCUAGAUUCAGUUUCCCUCCCAGCAAGGUGAUGCUUGCAUGAAUGGGCAGCAAAGCUGGCAACCAGGCCUGUGGUCCUCUGGGUGAGGACAGUGUGCCAUUCGUCCUCUGAGAGGCUGAUGGUGCCAGGCCACAGCCAUGGGUGCCUGUCCCCUGUCUCUGCAGAGUGAUUCCGGGGGCCUCUCCCUCCACACAUUUUUGCUGUUCUGAUAUGUCUCCCAUUCUCCCAGCAUUUCCAUCCACUUGCUCUUUCAUCUCAUCUCCUGCCGCAUUUGCUUUCAAAUGAGGAAUGUUGGAGUUAGCGGAGCUGCCAGGCUUCCUGGAGUGGCCCGUGGAUGCUGGGUCUUGGGCUCUGAAGCCUUGGUGGGACCCAGCUGGAAGGAGCCAGGGAAGGAAAGACCCUAAGGGCUGAGGGCCUUUGAGCAAAUAAGCACCAGUGGGCUUGCCUUGGGACCCCGGGACAUGCCAUCCUCAGGCCACAGACACACCAGUCAUAGGUCAGGUCCCAGCCUCUAGGUGGGGUCCUAACACAAGUGGGCAGCCACCCCCAUACCAUGACUGUGGUUCUCACUUUGGAAUUUCAUCAAACUGCCAGUGAUAAAACAACCUGGGGUCAGGUCCAGCAGGAACAGCUGCCCCUCCCAGUAACAGCGUGUUGCCCUCACCUGCCACUGCCCAGACCUGCUGCCUCCUCUGCCUCAUCAACCACCCACCUCUCCCUCAUCAACCACCCACUGAGUCCCCCUGUCCUGGGACCAGCCCCCGAUGGAUCAGGCUCUUACCUUCGCCUCCCAGGUAGUGAUAAGGGGCAGCUCCAUCUCACUGUAAGGGAACCCAGGCAGAGCUGAGGACUUGCAGAGGGUCUGGAGUUGUCCAGGUCAGGGAGUCAACCCCCAGAAAGGACUGGCUCUGUCCCAUCCAGCUCAGGGCUCAGCCUGGGAGAAGGCACAGGGAAGGGAGGACAAGGGCCUUCCCAUGGGGCUGACUCCCAGGAGGGGCCAGGACCUGGGAGAAGAGGGAGUACACAGCCAGCCUGGCGGGGGUUACUGGGGCCCCUGGUGUGGGGGGUGGUCAGGUUGCACAAUGGGUCUGCCCCUCUUGGACUGGAGGUGGUGCUUUCUGCUGGAGCUGAGAAACGUCAGCCCUUGGAUGGAUGGGGGCUACCCACUGUGGGUGACCAGGCCCUGACAGUAAUCCCUCAGGGAGUGACCAGUCUAGGGGGUCUGGUCUGAGACCUGCCUGGUAUACCCUGGCUGCACCAGGGGCCCAUCCCACUUGAGAGUCCCAAGGCCCUUACAGCAUCUGACUUCCCAGGGUCCACCUGCCUCUCCCUGCACCCAAGCCACACACACUGCAUUUCAGAAAUGGCAUGGCUCAUAAGCUCCCUCCCAUCCUACCUACCC
rnacentral:lncRNA from 1 species